rnacentral:rRNA from 1 species
AUUGAACGCUGGCGGCAGGCCUAACACAUGCAAGUCGAACGAGUGGCGGACGGGUGAGUAAUGUCUGGGACACUGCCUGAUGGAUGGGGCUACCUCCUGGAACCGGUAGCUACUACCGCAUACCAUCAGAUGUGCCCAGAUGGGAUUAGCUAGUUGGUGGGGUAACGGCUCACCAAGGCGACGAUCCCUAGCUGGUCUGAGAGGAUGACCAGCCACACUGGAACUGAGACACGGUCCAGACUCCUACGGGAGGCAGCAGUAGGGAAUAUUGCACAAUGGGCGCAAGCCUGACGCAGCCACGCCGCGUGUAUGAAGAAGGCCUUCGGGUUGUAAAGUACUUUCAGCGGGGAGGCGGUACCUGCAGAAGAAGCACCGGCUAACUCCGUGCCAGCAGCCGCGGUAAUAC